rnacentral:rRNA from 1 species
UACGUAGGGUGCAAGCGUUAAUCGGAAUUACUGGGCGUAAAGCGUGCGCAGGCGGUUAUGCAAGACAGAUGUGAAAUCCCCGGGCUCAACCGGGCGAGGUUAUGCCAGACUGGCAGUCUAGAGAGCGAGAGAGGGACGUGGAAUUCCGGGUGUAGUGGUGAAAUGCGUAGAGAUCCGGAGGAACCCCAGCGGCGAAGGCGGCAUCCUGGACUGGUCCUGACACUCAUGAGCGAAAGCGUGGGGAGCGAUCCGG